UAAUACAGAGGGUGCAAACGUUGUUCGGAAUCACUGGGCAUAAAGCGUAUGUAGGCGGCUCCGUAAGUGUCGGGUGAAAUCCCACGGCCUACCCGUGGAACUGUUCGGCAUACUGCGGAGCUAGAGGAUGGUAGAGGAGAGCGGAACUCUUGGUGGAGCGGUGAAAUGCGUAGAUAUCAAGAGGAACACCGGUGGCGAAGGCGGCUCUCUGGUCCAUUACUGACGCUGAGGUACGAAAGCUAGGGGAGCAAACGGGAUUAGAUACCCCGGUAGUCCUAGCUGUAAACGAUGGGCACUAACUAGAAGUCUCUCCUGUGAGGUUUCUGGUGAAGCAAAUGUGAUAAGUGCCCCGCCUGGGAAGUACGGUCGCAAGGCUA
rnacentral:rRNA from 1 species